rnacentral:misc_RNA from 1 species
CGCACCUUGCACCCUUUGGCAUUCCGAAGGGUACAUCUGUUUGAGUGUCAUGAAUCCCUCAACCUCUACAUUUUAGUGGGAGUGUUUUUACAUUUUCCAGUGUACAUUGUCAUGUAAAGUGUAGAAUGUUGGAUCUUGAGCGUUGCUGUGUACAACCUUACACAGCUCGCUUCAAAUGUAUCAGCAAUCUUUGAUAGUGAUCGGAUUGACCCAACGUGAUAAGAUCUUCGUUGGGGAUGCUCUAGCUAGCAGCCGGCCGCUAUACAAAAUGCUUCAAGACCUUGCGCAUUCGCCACCCCCUUACAUUUAGACCUCAAAUCAGAUGGGACUACCCGCUGAACUUAA